rnacentral:rRNA from 1 species
UACGAAGGGGGCUAGCGUUGUUCGGAUUUACUGGGCGUAAGGCGCACGUAGGCGGAUCGUUAAGUCGGGGGUGAAAUCCUGGAGCUCAACUCCAGAACUGCCUUCGAUACUGGCGAUCUUGAGUCCGGAAGAGGUGAGUGGAACUCCUAGUGUAGAGGUGGAAUUCGUAGAUAUUAGGAAGAACACCAGUGGCGAAGGCGGCUCACUGGUCCGGUACUGACGCUGAGGUGCGAAAGCGUGGGGAGCAAACAGG